AUUGAACGCUGGCGGCAGGCCUAACACAUGCAAGUCGAGCGGGGUUUUCGGACCUAGCGGCGGACGGGUGAGUAAUGCGUAGGAAGCUACCCGAUAGAGGGGGAUACCAGUUGGAAACGACUGUUAAUACCGCAUAAUGUCUACGGACCAAAGUGUGGGACCUUCGGGCCACAUGCUAUCGGAUGCGCCUACGUGGGAUUAGCUAGUUGGUGAGGUAAUGGCUCACCAAGGCGACGAUCUCUAGCUGGUUUGAGAGGAUGAUCAGCCACACUGGAACUGAGACACGGUCCAGACUCCUACGGGAGGCAGCAGUGGGGAAUAUUGGACAAUGGGCGCAAGCCUGAUCCAGCCAUGCCGCGUGUGUGAAGAAGGCC
rnacentral:rRNA from 1 species